rnacentral:rRNA from 1 species
UUGAUCCAUGGCUCAGAUUGAACGCUGGCGGCAGGCCUAACACAUGCACGUCGAGCGGCAGCACGGGUACUUGUACCUGGUGGCGAGCGGCGGACGGGUGAGUAAUGCCUAGGAAUCUGCCUGGUAGUGGGGGAUAACGCUCGGAAACGGACGCUAAUACCGCAUACGUCCUACGGGAGAAAGCAGGGGACCUUCGGGCCUUGCGCUAUCAGAUGAGCCUAGGUCGGAUUAGCUAGUUGGUGAGGUAAUGGCUCACCAAGGCGACGAUCCGUAACUGGUCUGAGAGGAUGAUCAGUCACACUGGAACUGAGACACGGUCCAGACUCCUACGGGAGGCAGCAGUGGGGAAUAUUGGACAAUGGGCGAAAGCCUGAUCCAGCCAUGCCGCGUGUGUGAAGAAGGUCUUCGGAUUGUAAAGCACUUUAAGUUGGGAGGAAGGGCAGUUACCUAAUACGUAUCUGUUUUGACGUUACCGACAGAAUAAGCACC